CAUAUCCACUCGUCAAUGGUAGGCGGGACAAUAAAGGAAAAGUUCUUCGCUUCUCAGAGUAUCACAAAUUUUAACGGGUUUUGUUAACUUACAUUAUCAGAUUUGACACUAGCUGAACAAAUUACCUUUCUGGACAAAAUUAAAAGCCACCCACCUAAGCCCACUGAUCGUCAGCAGGCAGAGAUAACUAGAGUGCCGAAAUCUACAACUGCACGCUUGAUACAUCAGCAAGAUAAUUUACGAGAAGAAUGGGCAUUAUGUGAGGGACAACAGGGGAUGUCCCAAAAAUGAAAGUGUGAAGGGUGGAUGAGGUGAUGUCAUGAAGUGGUUGAAGUGUUCCAUCAUCUAGCAACCCUGUGAUCUCUGUCUUGGAGGCCACUGUCAGAACAUCUUUCAAGAGGGAGAACACUCACAAGCUGGCAAGGCAUUGAAAACAUGUGCCAACCAACUGGCUGGAACGUUCAAGGACAUCUUCAGUUUCUCACUGCUGCUUCCAAAGGGCAGCAGUCGUUUCAGCUUCAACAGCUAUUGACUGUAGCACUCACAUCUACCAUAAUGUGGUGCUUUGAUAGGUUGGUCGUAGUUGAAAUUAAUUCCUGCCUGAACAAGGACCUGCUGCAAUUUGCCUACAGCAGACACAAUGUCACUGGCUUUCCACUCUGCUUUGGAGUACCUAGACACCAACAAAACGAAUGUCAGAUUGCUGUUUAUCAAUUACAACUCAGUGUUCAAUACCAUCACCCCCUCAGUUUUUACAUCUAGGCCUUAUUACCUCCCUCGGCAACUGGAUCCUUAAUUUCCUUAUCAGGAGACCACAGUAAGUACAGAUCAGUAAUAACAUCUCCUCCUCAUUGACAAUCAAUAUACAGUAGAUGAACCUCAGGGACGUGUGCUCAGACCACUGCUAUACUCUCACUACACUCAUGACUGUGUGUCUAAGCACAGCUCAAACAGCAUCUAUAAGUUUGCAGAUGUCACCACUGGUGUUGGUAAAAUCUCAGAUGAUGAGUGUGAUAGGAGUGUGAUAGAUCGGCUGGUUGAGUGACGUCGCAACAACAACUUUGCACUCAACAUCAGCAAGACCACGGAGUUGAUUGUGGACUUCAGGAAGAGGAAAUCAGGGGAACAUGCAACAGUCCUCAUUGAAGGGUCACCGGUGGAAAGGAUGAGCACCUUCAAGAUUCUAGGUGUUAACAUCUCUGAAGAUCUGUCCUGGGCUCAACAUAUUGAUGCAUUCAGGAAGAAGGCACACCAGCAGCUUUACUUAGGAGUAUGAGGAAUUUGGUAUGUCACUAAGCAAGCUUGCAAGUUUCUAUAGAUGUAAGGUGGAGUGCAUUCUGACUGCUUAUAUCGCAGCCCGAUAUGGAAGCUUCAAUGCACAGGAUCAUAAGAAGCUGCAGAGAGUUAUAGACUCAGCCAGCUCCAUCACAGAACCUGUUAUUGAUGAGAUCUUCAAAAGGCAGAGCCCCAAAGAAGACAGGGUCCAUCACUAAGAACCCACACCAUCCAGGACAUGCCUUCUUCUUGUUACUACUGUCAGGGAAGAGGUACAGAAGCCUGAAGACCCACACUCAGUGGUUUAGAAGCAGCUUUCCCCCCUCUGCCAUCAGAUUUCUGAAUGGUCCAUGAACAUUACCUCAUUAUUCUUUUAUUUUGCAUUAUUUAUUUUGUAAUUUAUUGUAUUUUUUUAAGACUUUGCACUUUAUUGCUGCCACACAACAAGAAUUUCACAUCAUGUAAGACAGUGAUAGUAAACCUGAUUCUGAUUUUUGUGUAUCCUUCACUUGAUUCACCCCACCAUUGCCAGUUAAGCCUCCUGCUGUCUGGGUAAUAAGGUCUGAUUCUCUUCCCUAAUUGCUUUGAUUCUGCCUUAUUCCCUCAUAAGCUGUUUAAUACCGAAUCCUUUGGAAUUGGGCCAUGUGACUUUAUAUUUCCACCUAUAACUUGAUGUCAGUUUUUGUCUGAUAAGCAUAUCCUGUGAAGUGCUACACUUCUGCUACAUUAAAGAUGUUGGAUAAAUGCAGGUUGUUACUCUCUAUGAGUCUUAAGUCUCCCUCUCUUAUAUGUUUGGAUUCUGAUGGUAUAAGUAUCUGCAGAUGUCAGUAAAUCAUAAGGUAGCUUAGUCUCCCGUCACUUUAACCUAGGGAACAGCUGAUAAUGGAUUACAAUAUCUUCAUAUUAUUUCCAAAUGCUUUUGGAAGUGUUGUACCUGUUUUGACUAUUAAAACCACUCCUUCCCACUCAUCUAUAUGUGACUAUUUUAAUUUUGUGAUUCAAAUGCACUUUCUGUACUGAAGCUAUGGAAAUGUUGCUGCUAUUUAUGUGUCCAUUAAUCCAGAAUUUUUUUUAUUAUAUA